GGCUCGUUAGUCAAGAGGUUAAGACACGGCCCUUUCACGGCUGAGGCAGGAGUUCGAUUCUCCUACGAGUCA
rnacentral:tRNA from 1 species